CAGCAGCCGCGGUAAUACGAAGGGGGCUAGCGUUGCUCGGAAUGACUGGGCGUAAAGCGCGCGUAGGCGGCUUUUUAAGUCAGAGGUGAAAGCCCGGGGCUCAACCCCGGAAUUGCCUUUGAAACUGGAAAGCUAGAAUCUUGGAGAGGUCAGUGGAAUUCCGAGUGUAGAGGUGAAAUUCGUAGAUAUUCGGAAGAACACCAGUGGCGAAGGCGACUGACUGGACAAGUAUUGACGCUGAGGUGCGAAAGCGUGGGUAGCAAACAGGAUUAGAUACCCCUGUAGUCCCUGUCUCUUAUAA
rnacentral:rRNA from 1 species